rnacentral:rRNA from 1 species
CAGCAGCCGCGGUAAUACGUAGGGUGCGAGCGUUAAUCGGAAUUACUGGGCGUAAAGCGUGCGCAGGCGGCGAUGCAAGACAGGUGUGAAAUCCCCGGGCUUAACCUGGGAACUGCACUUGUGACUGCAUGGCUAGAGUGCGUCAGAGGGGGGUGGAAUUCCGCGUGUAGCAGUGAAAUGCGUAGAGAUGCGGAGGAACACCGAUGGCGAAGGCAGCCCCCUGGGAUGACACUGACGCUCAGGCACGAAAGCGUGGGGAGCAAACAGGAUUAGAUACCCUGGUAGUCCACGCCCUAAACGAUGUCAACUAGUUGUCGGGGAUUCAUUUCCUUGGUAACGCAGCUAACGCGUGAAGUUGACCGCCUGGGGAGUACGGCCGCAAGGUUAAAACUCAAAGGAAUUGACGG